UACGUAGGGCGCAAGCGUUAUCCGGAAUUAUUGGGCGUAAAGAGCUCGUAGGCGGUUUGUCGCGUCUGCCGCGAAAGUCCGGGGCUCAACUCCGGAUCUGCGGUGGGUACGGGCAGACUAGAGUGAUGUAGGGGAGACUGGAAUUCCUGGUGUAGCGGUGAAAUGCGCAGAUAUCAGGAGGAACACCGGUGGCGAAGGCGGUUCUCUGGGCCUGUACUGACGCUGAGGAACGAAAGCGUGGGGAGCGAACAGG
rnacentral:rRNA from 1 species